CGCACAUUGCGCCCCUUGGUAUUCCGGGGGGCAUGCCCGUUCGAGCGUCAUUGCACCACACAAGCCUCGCUUGGUGUUGGGUCCCGGGGGCGACCCGGACCCCAAAUUCGUCGGCCGGACAGCCCGAAACGCAGCGUCGUGAAUCAAAUCUCGCUGACGGAGAGGGUGAUCCGCGCCGGAAAACGAUGAAUAUCUAUCACAGGUUGACCUCGGAUCGGGUAGGAAUACCCGCUGAACUUAA
rnacentral:misc_RNA from 1 species